UACGUAGGGUGCGAGCGUUGUCCGGAAUUAUUGGGCGUAAAGGGCUCGUAGGCGGUUUGUCGCGUCGGGAGUGAAAUCCACUGGCUUAACUGGUGGCUUGCUUUCGAUACGGGCAGACUGGGAGGUAUGCAGGGGAGAACGGAAUUCCUGGUGUAGCGGUGAAAUGCGCAGAUAUCAGGAGGAACACCGGUGGCGAAGGCGGUCAUCCUGG
rnacentral:rRNA from 1 species